GCCACUCACCCUGAGACUCCACUCUGGUUCUGCACUGCGAGUGGUGAAGGCAUUUAUUGUCCUGACCCCAGAAUUCCUCUCCCAUGACCAGGACCAGCUCACCCAGGAGCUGCAGCAGCAUGUGAAGUCAGUGACAGCCCCAUGUAAGUACCCGAGGAAGGUGGAAUUUGUCCCAGAGCUGCCCAAAAUCAUCACUGGCAAGACUAAGAGAAGUGAACUUUGGAAAAAGGAGUUUGGUCAGAUGUAAUCAG